GUAUUGAAGGCACCAAUGAGUAUCGCGGGUCACCAGACACCAAGAUAGGUGGAUAAGCGGUUUUUGCCUUGUCUUCAGGACUGCUCAUGACAGUUGGUCUGGAAGGGCAAUGCUUCAGUCACGCACCAGACAUCAUCGCCAUGGAACAGCGGAUUGACACGCAGCCGUCUUUCCACCGUAAACCAUCUCUCAUACGGGCAACCCUCAUGUGCAAACAAACGAAUGACGCCUCUUUUUCAGUUCCGCUGCCGUUGGAUAACACAUUUUUAUGUUGCAAACAUGUGCUGUACGUACGUCUUCGCCAGUGUCUUCAAGGGCUAUUUGAUAGUUCAACGGACCCAGCUGCUUGAUAAUGCGAUGAUGAAGAUGAUGAACUACAUCAUACGAGGCAGCGUCUGGGGUUAGAUUAGGCCCAGAGAGUAUUUUGUCCAUUGGACUUUGGAGUUUCCUACCCAGCUGGAGUUCGGCUGGGGUUAAUCCAGUGGUCUCUUGAACGGCUGAAUUAAGGGCGAAUCUGAAUUCUGAUGAAACAAACUGAGUGCCUCUGUCUGAGAGAACGAAGUCUGGUACGCCCCAACGUGUCAGGAUGUCUUUUCUGAAGAUGGAGGCAAUAUUCUUCGCUGUGGCACUCCGAAUGGGAAACAACUCCACCCAUCGAGAAUAAUAAUCAACAAAGACCAGCAGGUCCUCACAUGCUGUUUCACCGCUGACCACAUGCCUGGCCAAAAUGCUACUUCCUGAAGUCGCUUAUAGGUCUUGUAGAUUCCUCCAUGGCCACAGAUGGGAGUGGAGUGAUAGUACUGGAGAAGGGUGGAUCUGAGACUGCUGGGAAUGUAGAUUCUGUAAUGCAGUUGGUUAUUUGUCAGGACAACAUCUGAUACAGGCAGUGCUGGGUCUUUUCCGCUGGUGUACAAGUUACAUCCUGGGGUAACCGAAGAUCUGGAUAGAGCAUCCGGAGCUACAUUUAGCUUCCCUUUUCGGUACUCAAUAACAAAAUCAAAUUUUUGCAAUCGCAGGACCCAACGAAUGAGGCGGCUGGUGGUUUUCGUGGAGUUCAUGACCCAUUGCAGUGCAGCAUGGUCGGUAACAACUGUAAAAAGCUUGUGCUCCAAGUAAUGUUGCCACUUUUCCAGGGCCCAGAUGACUGCAAGACAUUCCUUCUCCGUUGCAGUAUAAUUUAGUUCGGCCCCAGUUAAGGUUCGGCUUGCAUAGGCUAUAACCUCCUCUCUGCCUACCUCCCUCCGUUGUGCUAAUAUGGCACCCAGGCCGAUGUCGCUGGCAUCGGUGUAAACAAUGAAUGGCCGCUGAAGAUCGGGAUGGCCCAGAAUGGGAGUGUGUUGAGGGGUUCAGUAAUCUUGGAAAAAUUUGGAACGAAACGGUGAUACCACCCGGCUAACCCGAGGAACCGUUGAACUUCCUUCACGUUCGUAGGCACAGGAUAG
ensembl:lncRNA